UGGGAGUGGCCACACAGCGGCUCCAGGGUCAGGAGGAGGCAUGACUGUGGGGGCCAGACCCCAAAAGCUGAGGCAGGGGAGGACUUAAGCUGGGCCGAAGUGGGGCAGCCCCGGAGGAGGUAAAGGCUUCCCUGUUGGAAACCUCAGCCCAGGAGAAGGGGAGAAGGGAGCCCUGGCCAGCGGCUGGGCCUGAGAAAUCCAACCAGCAAGGAUUUGCAGGGGUUCCCGAGGCAAAGAGGGGCUGGAGAGAGGCCAGGGGUCGGGAAGGCCCAGGGCGGAGAGUGUUGGCCCAUCAGGCUGGGGCCGAACCAGGAGCCGCCUCCAUGGGAGGCAGUGAGUCCCCCACCCACCAAACACCGCAAAGACCGGCAGAGGCUUACUCAGAGCCUCACGAGUGGAGGCACCAGAGGGAUCCGUGGCCCAGAUGAUGGGCAGGGCUAGAACCAGGCCAGGCCCAGCGCUGUGGAGAUGAAUAGGUCAUGCUUGUAUCUUCCCCGUGCCUCCUCCCUGGGGGUCCCUAAGGGCCCCCACGCCCCCCUUGCAGAGCAGCACAUGGCACGGCCCUGCAGUUCUCACUCUGCAGCCUCCCUCCUGAGGCCAUCCUGAAACGGCUCCCCUCGGGGCGGUAAGGUCUCGCCUCCAGGUUGCAGCCAUCCUGCUCACCCACCCUUCCAGACGCCGUGUCAGCAGGUGCAAUGCCCAUGUCCAUCUGCCCUUGUGUUCCCUCCCCUGGCCUGCAGAAGGGCAGCCCCAAACUCUUCACUGGGAGCUUCAGGAACCUUGCCAGGAAGAGAACAGGCAGAUGGAGACUGGGGUCCACCCCAUCCCGCCCUCUACUGCCCGAAGGCUGGACAGGCUGCCUCACUUUUGGAGCUAGAGCAAAAUAAGAAUGCAGGACCCUGUGGUUCAAAAUUAAGAAUUUUGACCGGGCGUGGUGGCUCACGCCUGUAAUCCCAGCACUUUGGGAGCCCGAGGCAGGUGGAUCACUUGAGGUCAGGAGUUUGACACCAGCCUGGCCAACAUGGUGAAAUCGCGUCUCUACUAAAAAUACAAAAAUUAGCCAGGCGUGGUGGCACACGCCUGUAAUCCCAGCUACUCGGGAAGCUGAGGUAGGAGAAUUGCUUGAACCUGGGAGGCGGAGUUUGCAGUGAGCCAAGAUCGUGCCACUGCCCUUCAGCCUGGGCGACAGAUCUAGACUCCACCUGAAACAAAACAAAACAAAAACAAAAACAAAAACAAAAAAACCUUAAGAAUUUCAAGAGGGAGACACAAAGCACAAAACCACGCUCAGCCCCAGGUCUACAAAGCCACGUGGCCAGAGCGGGAGGCCCAUAGACCCUGGAGCUGAAGGUUGGGGUGAUGAUCGGCCUGCCCCGGGGCUUGGAGAGUGUGCCCUCCUCCCCUCUGCCUACCCAACCCUGUUGGGGCUGAAUCAUGACCCCCACAACGUUCAUAUGGUGAAGUUCUAACCCUACCCCAGCCCAGUCCCUCGGAGCAUGACCGUGUUUGGAAGCAGAGUGGCUGCAGGUGUCAUUAGCUGGAUGAGGUCAUGGUGGAGGAGGGUGGCCACUCAUCCAGUGUGACUGGUUUCCUUACAAAAAGAGGAAAUGUGGGCCGGGCGCAGCGUCUCACGCCCGUAAUCCCAGCACUUUGGGAGGCCGAGGCGGGCAGAUCACGAGGUCAGGAGACAAGACCAUCCUGGCUAACACAGUGAAAUCCCAUCUCUACUAAAAAUACCAAAAAAAAAAAAAAAAAAAAAAA
ensembl:lncRNA